AUUUGGGAUCAAAUAAAUGAGGAGCAGAAGAGACUUUUUUUUAAAAUAGGCUAUUCUGAUCUAAAACUUUUGAACAAAAAUCUCUUCAAAGCAGAUAUUUUUUCUGUUGUAUUUACAAAUCACUUAAUUUUAUUCAUGAAUUAUUAAUUAAUGUAUGUUAAGUAAGAUGUUCUCACUGACUCAUUUCAUUGACAGUGAGCUCAUUUAGGACCAUUAAAAAAAAAGUGUACUGCCCUCUUGUGGCCGACAGUGGGAUUUUGCAUGUCUCAUGCUGCUUGUCUGAACAGGCAGACUUGAGUGACCCCUAGUGGCCGCCUGAGCUUUGGGACCAUAAGUAAUUCCGCAUAUUCCACGUUUUGCUUGUGUGUGAACACGUAAAAGUUGUUUGGCUUGAGGGGAUCCAUGGUUCGUGUCCGGCCUGGUUCAUGUCCCGGCUUUACCCCGCUAUAAGAGGACUCGCAAAAUAACAUGUGCUUUUGCUUGAUGUAUCCAAAACAAAGAGGCAUGAGAUUUGGUUACAGCAGAAGAGUUCAUUUAGAGCUUGUUAACAUUCAGUUUUAAUAUGCGUUGGCAAAACAAAACCGAGUAAAAGAAAGGCAAAUGUUAUUAACCUAUUUAACACACUGCUUCUGUAGGUUAACAGGAAUGCACAACAAUAAAUAGGCCAUGUGUCACGGUAAAACUAGGCCAGUAGAACACUGAUGUCUAUAUGAAGAGGAAGUGCAGGAAUAUAUCCCAGGAUCUGAUGUAAAUUUGGAGUAGUGACACUAAGGAAGAGGUUUUA